rnacentral:rRNA from 1 species
CCUACGGGAGGCAGCAGUGGGGAAUAUUGGACAAUGGGCGAAAGCCUGAUCCAGCAAUGCCGCGUGAGUGAUGAAGGCCUUAGGGUUGUAAAGCUCUUUUACCAGGGAUGAUAAUGACAGUACCUGGAGAAUAAGCUCCGGCUAACUCCGUGCCAGCAGCCGCGGUAAUACGGAGGGAGCUAGCGUUGUUCGGAAUUACUGGGCGUAAAGCGUACGUAGGCGGUUAUUCAAGUCAGAGGUGAAAGCCUGGAGCUCAACUCCAGAACUGCCUUUGAAACUAGAUAGCUAGAAUCUUGGAGAGGUGAGUGGAAUUCCGAGUGUAGAGGUGAAAUUCGUAGAUAUUCGGAAGAACACCAGUGGCGAAGGCGACUCACUGGACAAGUAUUGACGCUGAGGUACGAAAGCGUGGGGAGCAAACAGGAUUAGAUACCCUGGUAGUCCACGCCGUAAACGAUGAUAACUAGCUGUUCGGGCUCUACGAGCUUGUAGUGGCGCAGCUACGACAUUAAGUUAUCCGUCCGUCGGGAGGUACGGUCGCGAGAAUUAAACUAACAAAGAAAGUUAGACGGCGUGAGACGUAGCCGAACGGACGACGACGAGGGAAGGUAGGGAG